AUCUGCGAUAAGCGCCGGUAAGGUGAUAUGAACCGUUAUAACCGGCGAUACCCGAAUGGGGAAACCCAGUGUGACUCGUCACACUAUCAUUAACUGAAUCCAUAGGUUAAUGAGGCGAACCGGGGGAACUGAAACAUCUAAGUACCCCGAGGAAAAGAAAUCAACCGAGAUUCCCCCAGUAGCGGCGAGCGAACGGGGAGGAGCCCAGAGCCUGAAUCAGCAUGUGUGUUAGUGGAAGCGUCUGGAAAGGCGCGCGAUACAGGGUGACAGCCCCGUACACAAAAGCGCAUGUGCUGUGAGCUCGAUGAGUAGGGCGGGACACGUGGUAUCCUGUCUGAAUAUGGGGGGACCAUCCUCCAAGGCUAAAUACUCCUGACUGACCGAUAGUGAACCAGUACCGUGAGGGAAAGGCGAAAAGAACCCCGGCGAGGGGAGUGAAAAAGAACCUGAAACCGUGUACGUACAAGCAGUGGGAGCACCCUUCGGGGUGUGACUGCGUACCUUUUGUAUAAUGGGUCAGCGACUUAUAUUCUGUAGCAAGGUUAACCGUAUAGGGGAGCCGUAGGGAAACCGAGUCUUAACCGGGCGUUAAGUUGCAGGGUAUAGACCCGAAACCCGGUGAUCUAGCCAUGGGCAGGUUGAAGGUUGGGUAACACUAACUGGAGGACCGAACCGACUAAUGUUGAAAAAUUAGCGGAUGACCUGUGGCUGGGGGUGAAAGGCCAAUCAAACCGGGAGAUAGCUGGUUCUCCCCGAAAGCUAUUUAGGUAGCGCCUCGUGAAUUCAUCUCCGGGGGUAGAGCACUGUUUCGGCUAGGGGGCCAUCCCGGCUUACCAACCCGAUGCAAACUGCGAAUACCGGAGAAUGUUAUCACGGGAGACACACGGCGGGUGCUAACGUCCGUCGUGAAGAGGGAAACAACCCAGACCGCCAGCUAAGGUCCCAAAGUCAUGGUUAAGUGGGAAACGAUGUGGGAAGGCCCAGACAGCCAGGAUGUUGGCUUAGAAGCAGCCAUCAUUUAAAGAAAGCGUAAUAGCUCACUGGUCGAGUCGGCCUGCGCGGAAGAUGUAACGGGGCUAAACCAUGCACCGAAGCUGCGGCAGCGACACUGUGUGUUGUUGGGUAGGGGAGCG
rnacentral:rRNA from 1 species